rnacentral:rRNA from 1 species
UACGUAGGGAGCAAGCGUUGUCCGGAAUCAUUGGGCGUAAAGCGCGCGUAGGCGGCCCCGUAAGUCCGCUGUGAAAGUCAAAGGCUCAACCUUUGAAAGCCGAUGGAUACUGUAGAGCUAGAGUCCGGAAGAGGCGAGUGGAAUUCCUGGUGUAGCGGUGGAAUGCGCAGAUAUCAGGAGGAACACCAAUAGCGAAGGCAGCUCGCUGGGACGUGACUGACACUAAGGCGCGAAAGCGUGGGGAGCGAACAGG